ensembl:lncRNA
GAGAGAAUGUGAGACAGACAGACAGACAGGUCUACCAAGAGGAGAGAAUGUGAGACAGACAGACAGGUCUACCAAGAGGAGAGAGUGUGAGACAGACAGACAGGUCUACCAAGAGGAGAGAGUGUGAGACAGACAGACAGGUCUACCAAGAGGAGAGAGUGUGAGACAGACAGGUGUAGUUGGAUGGUAGGACCAAGGGAAUAGAAGAACCAAGGGAUAUCAAAGGUUCCAGUGCGGUAUGCAGAUGGUCGGGUGGGACUGGGGAAAUUGCUCACCCUUUGAAAUGGCCGCUAAUCUGGAAUCACCUGAGAGUUUCCUGACCUGUUUGAUUGUAUUGAGCC